rnacentral:rRNA from 1 species
GUCUUAUUGAUUAUAAUUUUAAGUCUGAUCUGCCCAGUGAAUUUUAAAUGGCUGCAGUAUUUUAACUGUACAAAGGUAGCAUAAUAAUUAGUUUCUUAAUUAGGAGCUGGAAUGAAAGAUUGAACGAGAUAAUGACUGUCUUAGACUAAAUUAAAGAAUUUUAUUUUUAAGUUAAAAAGCUUAAAUUUUUUUAAAAGACGAGAAGACCCUAUAGAAUUUUAUUUGAUUAUGAAAUUUAAAUUUUAGUAAUUGAAUUUUAAGUUUUUAUAGGAGAAUUUAAUUGGGGUGAUUAAAAAAUUUAUAAAACUUUUUUUUAUAUUCUAACAUAAAUUUAUGAAUUAUUGAUCCAAUAUUAUUGAUUAUAAGAUUAAAUUACCUUAGGGAUAACAGCGUAAUUUUUUUAGAGAGUUCUUAUCGAUAAAAGAGAUUGCGACCUCGAUGUUGGAUUAAAAUUAAUUUUUAAUGUAGAAGUUAAAAUAUUAGGUCUGUUCGACCUUUAGAAUUUUACAUGAUCUGAGUUUAAAUCGGCGUGAGCCAGGUUGGAUUCUAUCUUUAAUUAAGUUAAAUAUUUUAGUACGAAAGGACCAGAUAUUUAUUAUAAUAAUUUUUAUAGAAUAUUA